rnacentral:tRNA from 1 species
GCGAGAGUGGCGGAACUGGCAGACGCGCUGGACUUAGGAUCCAGUGGAGCAAUCCGUGGGGGUUCGAGUCCCUUCUCUCGCACCA